rnacentral:rRNA from 1 species
GGCUCUCCAAAAGCUUAUUUCAACCACUGACCUCGGAUCAGGUAGGGAUACCCGCUGAACUUAAGCAUAU